UCUGGCAUCUCUCACUUAAGGAGAAAUACUGAGGAGGAAAGCAUGUGUGGAGUCCUUUACUGAGACUGCACAAGCAGAGUGGUAGAAGCUGGUUUGCAAUGUCAAACACCAGGUUCUUGUUUCUGACCUCAGUGGAGUUUGCUGCAACGCUCUGCUGCUCAUGGCAACAUCGAAAUUACCAACCUGAGCCAAAAUCACACAGCUUAGGAGACAAGGCUGGUUAGUUUUCCUGUGACCUUCUGGAGAAGCCUAAGGAGGAAAAUAUCUGUGGCAUGGAAGUGCACGGUUUGACCUCAAG